rnacentral:rRNA from 1 species
GCCAGCCCGCUCAGAAACUCAAAGGAAGUUGACGGGGCCCGCACAAGCGGUGGAGUAUGUGGUUAAUUCGAUGCAACGCGAAGAACCUUACCUGGUCUUGACAUCCCGGAGACCCUUAGGAAACUAGGGGGUGCUUCCAUCUGGAAGAAUCUGGAGACAGGUGCUGCAUGGCUGUCGUCAGCUCGUGUCGUGAGAUGUUGGGUUAAGUCCCGCAACGAGCGCAACCCUUGCCUUUAGUUGCCAGCAGUUCGGCUGGGCACUCUAAAGGGACUGCCGGUGUUAAACCGGAGGAAGGUGGGGAUGACGUCAAGUCCUCAUGGCCUUUAUGACCAGGGCUACACACGUACUACAAUGGCCGAUACAAAGGGCAGCGACACUGCGAGGUGAAGCCAAUCCCGUAAAAUCGGUCUCAGUCCGGAUUGGAGUCUGCAACUCGACUCCAUGAAGUUGGAAUCGCUAGUAAUCGUGGAUCAGCAUGCCACGGUGAAUACGUUCCCGGGCCUU